AAAAAAAAAAAAAAAAAAAAAAAAGGAAGGGAUUCUCAUUGCAGAACAACGGUAGAAGUGCGAUCUUCGCAAAAACACCAGCAGAAAGUAUGGUGGCACAAGUGUAAAUUACAACAGAGCUGUCCUGUUUAAAAGACCAGGAACUAUCUCUCUGUUCAAUCCAGUAGCCAUUUCUCUCUCUCUCUCUCUUUCAGAAAAUGACUCCUACCCAUACUCAACUCACUAUACAAGGCAAUCCUAAGAUACUUCCAAGAGUAUCAGAAGAACACUCCAGAUAAAAGAAGAAGAAGAAAGGCCCUGCAACAAAU
rnacentral:misc_RNA from 1 species